rnacentral:rRNA from 1 species
AUUGAACGCUGGCGGAAUGCUUUACACAUGCAAGUCGAACGGCAGCACGGACUUCGGUCUGGUGGCGAGUGGCGAACGGGUGAGUAAUAUAUCGGAACGUGCCCAGUCGUGGGGGAUAACGUAGUGAAAAUUACGCUAAUACCGCAUACGAUCUACGGAUGAAAGCGGGGGAUCGCAAGACAUCGCGCGAUUGGAGCGGCCGAUAUCAGAUUAGGUAGUUGGUGAGGUAAAGGCUCACCAAGCCGACGAUCUGUAGCUGGUCUGAGAGGACGACCAGCCACACUGGGACUGAGACACGGCCCAGACUCCUACGGGAGGCAGCAGUGGGGAAUUUUGGACAAUGGACGCAAGUCUGAUCCAGCCAUUCCGCGUGCAGGACGAAGGCCUUCGGGUUGUAAACUGCUUUUGUACAGAACGAAAAGGUCUCUACUAAUACUAGGGGCUCAUGACGGUACUGUAAGAAUAAGCACCGGCUAACUACGUGCCAGCCGCCGCAGUAA